rnacentral:rRNA from 1 species
GUGGGGAAUAUUGGACAAUGGGCGCAAGCCUGAUCCAGCCAUGCCGCGUGAGUGAUGAAGGCCCUAGGGUUGUAAAGCUCUUUCACCGGAGAAGAUAAUGACGGUAUCCGGAGAAGAAGCCCCGGCUAACUUCGUGCCAGCAGCCGCGGUAAUACGAAGGGGGCUAGCGUUGUUCGGAAUUACUGGGCGUAAAGCGCACGUAGGCGGACAUUUAAGUCAGGGGUGAAAUCCCGGGGCUCAACCCCGGAACUGCCUUUGAUACUGGGUGUCUGGAGGAUGGAAGAGGUAAGUGGAAUUCCGAGUGUAGAGGUGAAAUUCGUAGAUAUUCGGAGGAACACCAGUGGCGAAGGCGGCUUACUGGUCCAUUACUGACGCUGAGGUGCGAAAGCGUGGGGAGCAAACAGGAUUAGAAACCCCAGUAGUCC